GACGAACGCUGGCGGCGUGCCUAAUACAUGCAAGUCGAGCGGAAUGAUGAAGAAGCUUGCUUCUUCUGAUUUUAGCGGCGGACGGGUGAGUAACACGUGGGCAACCUACCUUGUAGAUUGGGAUAACUCCGGGAAACCGGGGCUAAUACCGAAUAAUCCAUUUUGCUUCAUGGCGAGAUGUUGAAAGACGGUUUCGGCUGUCACUAUAGGAUGGGCCCGCGGCGCAUUAGCUAGUUGGUAAGGUAAUGGCUUACCAAGGCGACGAUGCGUAGCCGACCUGAGAGGGUGAUCGGCCACACUGGGACUGAGACACGGCCCAGACUCCUACGGGAGGCAGCAGUAGGGAAUCUUCCACAAUGGACGAAAGUCUGAUGGAGCAACGCCGCGUGAGUGAAGAAGGUUUUCGGAUCGUAAAACUCUGUUGUAAGGGAAGAACACGUACGAGAGUAACUGCUCGUACCUUGACGGUACCUUAUUAGAAAGCCACGGCUAACUACGUG
rnacentral:rRNA from 1 species